rnacentral:sRNA from 1 species
GGAUCGGAGGCUGUCAACCUGUCAAAGUUGAUGACUCCAUUGGCGUUGCCUUUCACAUAUCCAGAGAGUAUAAAAGUGUCACCCGUUCCUCCAAAGCUAUAGUCAUCUUCAACGUUAAUAAACCUUCAAGCUAGAGUUUUGAUUCAAGAUUUCAAUGGCAGGUGAGGCUCAAUCCGGUUCACAACAACCUCAAACCACUCCAGACACCAAGAACACCGACACCAACAAAACCGAUACCAAACCCAACACCGACAGUAACAACAAGAGUGACUCUUCCGAAAUGUUGUGUUAUGUAACACUUGUGAAGCAGCGUGUCAAAGGUCUCACCGGCAAGAUGCUUGAAGGGCUACCGUAAUGGAGACAUUUCCUUGGCAGCCUCUACUCCUAGUGUCCAACCAUGGACAUCAAACCUCUCAUAUAAUAAAGCUACAUAUAGCUGCAGCCAACUUAAUCAUUAACUAAAUAAUCUCUGCUGCUCAUGUUGCCUCUAUGUUGUUUUCAUAUGUUUCACUAGUCAAAACCAUCGUAUUAUGAAUAAAACAGGAGUAUGGGUGUACCACUAUUAUCAAAAUGUUGCAAAUGUUGCUAUUCAAUAAAAUAAAUACAUAUUAGCCUUGCAUAACUAUUCACUAAAUAUAUAAAUGAGAAUGAGUGAUGAUUUAUUUUCUGACAAAAUUGUA